AGCGGUACGCGAGCUGGGUUCAGAACGUCGUGAGACAGUUCGGUCCCUAUCUUCUGUGGGCGUUGGAGAAUUGAGAGGAGCUGUCCUUAGUACGAGAGGACCGGGAUGGACGUACCUAUGGUGUUCCAAUUGUCACGCCAGUGGCAUUGUUGGGUAGCUACGUACGGAAGGGAUAACCGCUGAAAGCAUCUAAGUGGGAAGCCUCCCUCGAGAUUAGUUCUCCCUGAAGGGCCCUGGAAGACUACCAGGUUGAUAGGCCGGGUGUGUAAGCGCAGCAAUGCGUUCAGCUAACCGGUACUAAUUGCCCGUUUGAUUUCCUC
rnacentral:rRNA from 1 species